ensembl:lncRNA
CCCCCCCCCCCCACCCCUCCCUCCCUUCUCCGCCCCCUCCACCCACUCACAAUGCAUUCUGGGAUUACGUGGACCACAUGGGGGAUUUUCUCUUCAGUCCACACGGGACCACGCCGCAGGGGGAGGAGGACAUUGAUUGACACCCCUGCCCUCCCCCACUUCCUGUUUGUAGAUAACAUUACCAAUCAACUCUGUUCAUCCGAGGCCCGAUAUAUUCACCCACGUCCUCAGACGUCUUCUUUCUCUCUCUUUCUUUGUUUUUUUUAACAAUGGGUAAGAAGAGACACUGAGAGCGCGGCUGGUCACACAAAGUGCUUUUGAAGCGGCUGGAGAAAGAACUCUGCUCUGAGUCGGGCAGAAGAAGAAGAAAGCUGUACAUUUUUUGGGAACUCAUUUUUUGCGAUGGACUUGAAGGGUAUACGACAAAAGAGAAAGAAAAAUGCUAAUAAUGAAUAAAAAAAAUUGUAAAGUUGUAAAAUGUUCUGAAGGCGAGUUUCAGAUGUAUUUCCUGUAUGCAGUUAUAUUACACGCCAGCAGCAUCAAACUGGAACAUGUCGGGGAAUCGCGCUAAAGAGCGCAUGCAGAGUGGUCUCAACCUUUGGCCAAAAUGUGUCAUUUAAAGAGAACUACUUCCAAAUGUAUACAUGUCAUUCCUACGAGAUUUAACAGUCAACAAAACUAUGUAUUUGCCCACGAAACACUUGCGUAUCCCUCCCGAAUCCAAGAACUGACCCAAACUUGUGAUGUCCUCGAGUGCCCCAUAAUCCAUGAACGUGUAGACGUGCUGAAGCUGAGGAGGGAAUAUCUUUGUUGUUGCAGCAGCUGACGCCUUCGUGUUUGAGGUUCCCUUUCCGCUUUCUGGCUCCGAGAGCAGCUCACGCUCUCCGGUACUGAUGCAACUUUCCUCGACGGUGGAAAUAACAUAUGCGAGCUCUUUAUUCCAUAAUGCCAUUAGUAAUUUAAGGGAACUAUGAACUGGUAGUAAGAUAAGAUCAUAUUACCUACAUGUGCAGAACCGUGACCUGACCUUAAAUGCACCUGAAGUGUAUUGGAAGCUGUAUUCAUUAUUCAUGUUAUUAAGGCUGUUUGUCCUCCCGGGGCCGAUCAGCACUGCAAACAACUCCCCACAUGGCUCGCUUGUCUCUUGUAUUCGCAUCUGAAUGGGGC